UCUCAUGUGGUCUACUGGUUAGGAUUCCUGGUUUUCACCCAGGCUGCUCGGGUUCGAUUCCCGGCAUGGUAA